rnacentral:rRNA from 1 species
AACGAACGCUGGCGGCAGGCUUAACACAUGCAAGUCGAACGCCCCGCAAGGGGAGUGGCAGACGGGUGAGUAACGCGUGGGAAUCUACCCAGAUCUUCGGAACAACUGAGGGAAACUUCAGCUAAUACCCGGAUACGCCCUACGGGGGAAAGAUUUAUCGGUUCUGGAUGAGCCCGCGUUGGAUUAGCUAGUUGGUGGGGUAAUGGCCUACCAAGGCGACGAUCCAUAGCUGGUCUGAGAGGAUGAUCAGCCACACUGGGACUGAGACACGGCCCAGGACUCCUACGGGAGGCAGCAGUGGGGAAUAUUGGACAAUGGGCGAAAGCCUGAUCCAGCCAUGCCGCGUGAGUGAUGAAGGCCUUAGGGUGUAAAGCUCUUUCAGUGGGAAGAUAAUGACGGUACCCACAGAAGAAGCCCCGGCUAACUUCGUG